CCCUGUUUAUCAAAAACAUUGCCUUAUGAAAACAAACUAUAAGGUUCAUCCUGCCCAGUGAUUUACUUUUAAACGGCCGCGGUACCCUAACCGUGCAAAGGUAGCAUAAUCAUUCGCCUUCUAAUUAAAGGCUUGUAUGAAUGGACAAACGAAAGCAAACCUGUCUCCAUCAAACAAAAUAAAAAUUAACCUUCAGGUGCAGAGGCCUGAAUUACUCUAAAGGACAAAAAGACCCUGUCGAGCUUUACCUACAAAAUUUCCCAUUACACACACCAGUGACAUAAAAAAAUCCAAAUAGGUUAAGUUGGGGCGACUAAGGACCAAAAAAAACGUCCUUUUAACAAAGAUCUAUAUAUCUAACUAAAUGAUCCACUCCAAUGUGAAUGCAAAUCAAGCUACCGCAGGGAUAACAGACUAAUCCUCCUAGAGAGCCCAAAUUGACAGGAGGGAUUGGCACCUCGAUGUGGCCU
rnacentral:rRNA from 1 species